GAUGAACGCUAGCUACAGGCUUAACACAUGCAAGUCGAGGGGAAACGGCAUUAAGUGCUUGCACUUUUUGGACGUCGACCGGCGCACGGGUGAGUAACGCGUAUCCAACCUUCCCAUGACUAAGGGAUAACCUGCCGAAAGGCAGACUAAUACCUUAUGGUCUUCACUGACGGCAUCAGAUGUGAAGUAAAGAUUUAUCGGUUAUGGAUGGGGCUGCGUCUGAUUAGCUUGUUGGCGGGGUAACGGCACACCAAGGCAACGAUCAGUAGGGGUUCUGAGAGGAAGGUCCCCCACAUUGGAGCUAAGACACGGUCCAAACUCCGACGGGACGCAGCAGUGAGGAAUGUUAGUCGAUGGGCGAGAGCCUGAAACAGCCAAGUAGCGUGCAAGAUGCCGGGCCUAUGGGAUGUAAGCUGCUUUUGUAUGAGGAUAAAGUCAAUCACGAGUGAUUGUUUGCAGGUACCAUACGAAAAAGGACCGGCUAAUUCCGUG
rnacentral:rRNA from 1 species